rnacentral:rRNA from 1 species
CUGUGACAUACCUAUAACGUUGCCUCGGCGGGAACAGACGGCCCCGUAACACGGGCCGCCCCCGCCAGAGGACCCCCUAACUCUGUUUCUAUAAUGUUUCUUCUGAGUAAACAAGCAAAUAAAUUAAAACUUUCAACAACGGAUCUCUUGGCUCUGGCAUCGAUGAAGAACGCAGCGAAAUGCGAUAAGUAAUGUGAAUUGCAGAAUUCAGUGAAUCAUCGAAUCUUUGAACGCACAUUGCGCCCGCCAGUAUUCUGGCGGGCAUGCCUGUUCGAGCGUCAUUACAACCCUCAGGCCCCCGGGCCUGGCGUUGGGGAUCGGCGGAAGCCCCCUGCGGGCACAACGCCGUCCCCCAAAUACAGUGGCGGUCCCGCCGCAGCUUCCAUUGCGUAGUAGCUAACACCUCGCAACUGGAGAGCGGCGCGGCCACGCCGUAAAACACCCAACUUCUGAAUGUUGACCUCGAAUCAGGUAGGAAUACCCGCUGAACUUAAGCAUAUCAAUAAGCGGAGGA